GUCUUAGCAAAAAGUCACCCAACGCAAGGCUGGCAUGAUGUCGGAUUUUACUCCUUCUCAGGGAGGUGGUGUUUUUGUCUUUAAGCCCACUCGCUCAAACCCACAAGUAAAUCUUGAUCCUAGAAGUUCAAGACCAAUUCCAAUGGUAUCAUCAGACCAUCCCAGGUGGCGGCAGCAACAGGUGCCUGUGUCCAACAGACAUCGUUGACCUUUCAUGUUCCCGACCUUUCUGGAAGCAGUCUGCUCUUGCAUCAAUUGUUUUUGAGACGGUCAAUAAAAUACUUGGAACUGCA